CUACGGGUGGCUGCAGUGGGGAAUAUUGGGCAAUGGGCGCAAGCCUGACCCAGCAACGCCGCGUGAGGGAAGAAGGGUUUCGGCUUGCAAACAUUUGUCCUUGGGGACGAAGAAGUGACGGUACCCAAGGAGGAAGCUCCGGCUAACUACGUGCCAGCAGCCGCGGUAAUACGUAGGGAGCAAGCGUUGUCCGGAAUUACUGGGCGUAAAGGGUGCGUAGGCGGCAUAUUAAGUCAGGUGUGAAAUACUCGGGCUCAACCCGGGGGCUGCAUUUGAAACUGAUAUGCUUGAGUGUGAGAGAGGAAAGUGGAAUUCCUAGUGUAGCGGUGGAAUGCGUAGAUAUUAGGAGGAACACCAGUGGCGAAGGCGACUUUCUGGCUCAUAACUGACGCUGAGGCACGAAAGCGUGGGGAGCAAACAGGAUUAGAUACCCUAGUAUUC
rnacentral:rRNA from 1 species